rnacentral:rRNA from 1 species
CCUACGGGAGGCUGCAGUAGGGAAUUUUUCACAAUGGGCGAAAGCCUGAUGGAGCAACGCCGCGUGCAGGAUGAAGGCCUUCGGGUUGUAAACUGCUUUUAUAAGCGAGAAAUAUGAUGGUAACUUAUGAAUAAGGAUCGGCUAACUACGUGCCAGCAGCCGCGGGCAUACGUAGGAUCCGAGCAUUAUCCGGAGUGACUGGGCGUAAAAAGUUGCGUAGGUGGGAUAAUAAGUAGCUAGUGAAAUCUGGUGGCUCAACCAUUCAGACUAUUAGCGAAACUGUUAAGCUCGAGACCGUUAGGGGUAACUGGAAUUUCUAGUGUAGGAGUGAAAUCCGUAGAUAUUAGAAGGAACACCAAUAGCGUAGGCAGGUUACUGGGACGGUUCUGACACUAAGGCACGAAAGCGUAGGGAGCAAACGGGAUUAAAUACCCCAGUAGUC